AACAAACAGGCUGCGGAGGAGAUGUAGAGCAGCAGUAAGAGCAGGUACGAUGGCGGACGGGGGAACAGCAGUAAUCGUAGCUGCGUGCCAUUCGAAUCAGUUUAUAACAGGACUCAGACAUCUGUCUGUUAUCGUUUUUAUCUCGUGGUUCUUUAUCACGAUGUAUAAAUCUGCUGAUCUGCAACUCUUUGUGGUUUGAGUUGUGCAGAUAAAGAGCUGGUAGCAGAAUAACGUUUUUGUGGAAACAAAGCAUUUACAAGCUGUGGGUUAUUAGAAUAAAAUGCUAGUUUUGUUUUUUCCACAUCCGAAUACAGAACAGUAUUGUUCCACUUCUCAACUCCACUCCCAGACAUCGUCUUUCAGAUGUUGUAGGAUGACAACAACAGACACAGUGGAGACAUGAACAUGCUGAAAACCAACACAACGCAGGAGAAGUUUGGCAGCAAGUCUCGGUCCUCAUUAUCAUUUCUCCCUGGGCCUGUUCUGGUGAUCAGAGCCCCACCAGAGGGGCCUUUGGCUCGGUGGGAGAGGUGUUGGAGGCGGCCUGGCCCCGCUGUGCUCCUUCCUUCCCCCUCCACAGGGUGCCAGGCACAGCAUGUACCACUGUCAUGCCAAGCCUGACGACGCGGCUGCCUGCACAGCCGACGCCGUGUUUGAACAGGGCAGGGGGUUGCCACGUCAUGCCGAACACACACAUGCAGGAAGGCCCCACGCUUGCACGCACCGACAUACACACGUCGCGGUGAGGCUGACUCCCGGUGGGUUCGACACAUGUUUGGAAGAUGCCGCGGAGGUGAGAGUAAAUGUGUGGACCAAUUCAACUGAGUCUCUCUUGCAGUUUGUGCAGGUGAGAAACAUCAGACAGAAUUAGACUGAGAUUGAUAAAACUGAGUACAUCUGUUGUGGUAGAUAUAGAUUCAGAUAUAGGACACGCGGUGCACACUUUCAGUCAAUUUAAAAAUGUAUGCGGUGAACGAUUAAAUCCUUUUAAAAAGUUUAAAAUAAAAAGUGACUGCAGUUCAGUGUUUUAUGAUCUAACUAUGUCGUCCUUGACGCAGUAACUCC